rnacentral:misc_RNA from 1 species
AAACUUGAACUGAGGGUGCUAAAAAUCAAAUAAUGAUUUGAGCAAAGCAGCUAAGGGUGCAAUGAGCCAAACUGUUGGAAAGCGUGAGAAAUUUGGUACAAAACUACAAAUGGUUAAAGAGUUGAAAGGGUAGCUGUGGAAAAUUCAUGAAUAGAGCGAAUAACCUAGAUGGCAACCUAACCUACGUCGUAUUUAAGAGAAGGAUCAAGCCACCCCUUCUCCCCUAACACAUGCACACUUGUGCAUUUGCUCGCACUCGCGAAAGAGCCAGAACACAAGAGUAAAUGGGCAACUAUCUUUGAAAUUAUAUUGUUAAAAGCACUAAUCGAAACAGGUGGGAUUCCUUUGGAGUGAUUCCUUUUCAACCGUAGCCCUUCUCUGUUCAGGAUGAGCUAGGAUACCUUUUCUGUUCUUUUGCAGAAGAGAAAGCAAGAACAAAGGACAAGUAAAGAAUUUGAUUGAUGGGUUGAAUUGUACAAGAACAUGUCCCUUAUCUCAAAGUAAUAGGAAGGUCAGCAUUGGAAUCAGAAGCAGCGGGAGUAUCAGGCAGUAAUGAAUAAGAUUCAAUAGGAAGGGAAAGAGGGCUUAAGUUCCAAAGACUUGUGGAGUGUGGAGUGGAGCUUAGUGCACA